UACGUAGGGUGCAAGCGUUGUCCGGAAUUAUUGGGCGUAAAGAGCGUGUAGGCGGCCCGAUUAGUCCGCUGUGAAAGUCCAGGGCUCAACCCUGGAAUGCCGGUGGAUACUGUCGGGCUAGAGUCCGGAAGAGGCGAGUGGAAUUCCUGGUGUAGCGGUGAAAUGCGCAGAUAUCAGGAGGAACACCGGUGGCGAAGGCGGGUCUCUGGGCCGUAACUGACGCUGAGGAGCGAAAGCGUGGGGAGCGAACAGG
rnacentral:rRNA from 1 species